CUGGGUUGUUUAUUCUUUUACAGUACAUUGAUUUUUCAGUUUUGGCUUUUGAGGGAGCUUGCUCAAUAGGAAUCCAAAAGUGCUUUUGCUUAUACCACUUCUGAGAAUUAAAAACAGACAUGAUGUAAGUAUCAAUGUUGACUAUUUCAGAAAAAAAAGAAACAUCCAAAUAGUGAAAAGUUAAAAUUAAAUUUGAUCUUUUUAUUUUUUAUUUUUUUGAGAUGGAAUCUCACUGUGUCGCCUAGGCUGGAGUGCAGUGGCGUGAUCUUGAUUCACUGCAAUGUCCACCUCCCGGGUCCAAGCAAUUCUCCUGCCUCAGCCUCCCAAGUUGGCUGUGAUUACAGCACUCUUCUUUCUGGGAGGAAACUAGACUGCUUUAGAAAUCACUGCAGGAAUCACAGAGUAAAAUGGAGAAGAAACCAGGGAUGUGUCAUAACACAGUAGUCUGAAAAAGGGCCAGGUAGAAGAGUGGGAAGGACUAUGCCUCUGGCAAGUGCAAGUUCAUAAAUCCCAGUUUCUUCAAGUUACGAGGCACAUCUGCAUCCCCAGAUGAUGGCUACUGGUCAGAACACUGAACUCAUACCAAAAGCUGCUGUUGUUGACAGUUUAAUGUCUAUGGAUCUGACUCGGAGAGAAAUGUGCCACUUACUGAAUCACCAACACCAUAUCUUUGGUGUUGAGGUGGGGCACGCUUACUUUUUCAUCUGAAGAUUGACACAGCCCACCAAGAACAAUUUGAAAGAGACAGGAUUGCUGCUGAAAAGGCAUGACAUCAAGCCACACAAAUUGGAUGUUAAGACUAGAGAUUAACUUGUGAACUUGGCAGGAAUAGGUCGUAUGACGAGAGCUGAAACGUACAACUGGAUCUUGGUCAUGCCAUUCCUCAAAGGAGAUGAAGAAAUCCUGAAUUUUUAAUUUAUGCUUAAUAGCCAUGGCUUUGUCUCUACAGAGUGUUUGUGAUAUAUUUCUAAGCAUUGGUAAAUUAAUUCUUACUGCACCAACUUGGUGGAAAUCUGUUCCAUCAGAAAGAGUUAAUACAUCCAAAGAGAUAGAAACACAUUUAAGACUAACUUUCACAAGCUCCUGCUUAGCUAAAAAUGAAACUAGAAAACUUUAUUUUGAGUAUUUUACAUUUCUGAUGGUACAGAAUCAACAGUUUGGGAAGCUUAAUACCUAUUUGCCAAGAGAAAAAGUCAGAAUUCUCUUUUCAGGUCUACAUUCUUUUAACUUGUCUCAUCUUUUUAUGUACCCUAGUAGUUUCAGAGAUACACUUGAAGAUAGAGCAAUUUCUGUUUUCAUCACUUUUAACAACAAUGGGUCUUUUUAUCAUUGUCAAUGAAUCAAUAUUCAGCCAGUGCUCCUGAGGAGAUGAAAAAUUCCACCGGCAAUUAUCUUACAGAGUCACCAUGAUUACUAGGUUAUAUGGUUUGGCUGUGUCCCCACCCAAAUCUCAUCUUGAAUUCCCAUGUGUUGCGGGAGGGACCCAGUGGGAGGUAACUGAAUCAUGGAGACAAGUCUUUCUUGUGCUGUUCUUAUGAUAGUGAAUAAGUCUCAUGAGAUCUUAUGGUUUUAUAAAGAAGAGUCCCCCUGCACAAGCUCUCUCUCUCUUUGCCUGCUGCCAUCUAUUUAAGAUGUGGCUUGCUCUUCCUUGCCUUCCGCCGUGAUUGUGAGGCUUCCCCAGCCAUGUGGAACUGUAAGUCCAAUUAAACCUCUUCUUUUGU
rnacentral:antisense_RNA from 1 species